AAUAAAGUGCCUGAAAAAGGAUAAUUCUGAUAGAAUUAAUCAUAUAAUUUAUAAUUAUCUUUAUUU
rnacentral:tRNA from 1 species